rnacentral:ncRNA from 1 species
AACUGAAAAAGGCAAAACCAUCGAAAGAUGGCGACGCAAAGUCUCCGGUCUAAAGGAAAUUUUCCGAUGAUAGCGGGACCGCCAGU